UACAGAGGGGGCAAGCGUUGUUCGGAAUUACUGGGCGUAAAGGGCGCGUAGGCGGCCGCCUAAGUCAGACGUGAAAUCCCUCGGCUCAACCGGGGAACUGCGUCUGAUACUGGGUGGCUUGAAUCCGGGAGAGGGAUGCGGAAUUCCAGGUGUAGCGGUGAAAUGCGUAGAUAUCUGGAGGAACACCGGUGGCGAAGGCGGCAUCCUGGACCGGCAUUGACGCUGAUGCGCGAAAGCUAGGGGAGCAAACAGG
rnacentral:rRNA from 1 species